GCAGGGGUGGCUCAGUGGUUAAGGCUCUGAGUUACGAAUGAGAAGGUCAGGGGUUCAAGUCCCAGCACCACCA